rnacentral:rRNA from 1 species
AUUGAACGCUGGCGGCAUGCUUUACACAUGCAAGUCGAACGGCAGCGCGGGGGCAACCCUGGCGGCGAGUGGCGAACGGGUGAGUAAUGUAUCGGAACGUACCCAGUCGUGGGGGAUAACGUAGCGAAAGCUACGCUAAUACCGCAUACGAUCUAUGGAUGAAAGCGGGGGACCGUAAGGCCUCGUGCGAUUGGAGUGGCCGAUAUCAGAUUAGGUAGUUGGUGGGGUAAAGGCCCACCAAGCCGACGAUCUGUAGCUGGUCUGAGAGGACGACCAGCCACACUGGGACUGAGACACGGCCCAGACUCCUACGGGGGGCAGCAGUGGGGAAUUUUGGACAAUGGGCGCAAGCCUGAUCCAGCAAUGCCGCGUGCAGGAUGCAGGCCUUCGGGUUGUAAACUGCUUUUGUACGGAGCGAAAAGGCUCUCUCUAAUACAGGGGGCUCAUGACGGUACCGUAAGAAUAAGCACCGGCUAACUACGUGCCAGCAGCCGCAGUAA